GACGAACGCUGGCGGCGUGCUUAACACAUGCAAGUCGAACGGAAAGGCCCUGCUUGCAGGGUGCUCGAGUGGCGAACGGGUGAGUAACACGUGGGUGAUCUGCCCCUUAUUUUGGGAUAAGCCUGGGAAACUGGGUCUAAUACUGGAUAGGACCAUGCUGUAGGUGGUGUGGUGGAAAGAUUAGUUUCGGUAAGGGAUGAGCUCGCGGCCUAUCAGCUUGUUGGUGGGGUAAUGGCCUACCAAGGCGUCGACGGGGAGCCGGCCUGAGAGGGUGGACGGCCACAUUGGGACUGAGAUACGGCCCAGACUCCUACGGGAGGCAGCAGUGGGGAAUAUUGCACAAUGGGCGCAAGCCUGAUGCAGCGACGCCGCGUGGGGGAUGACGGCCUUCGGGUUGUAAACUCCUUUCAGCCAUGACGAAGCCCUUGUGGUGACGGUAGUGGUAGAAGAAGCACCGGCUAACUACGUG
rnacentral:rRNA from 1 species